rnacentral:lncRNA from 1 species
AUGGAUCCGAUAGCAUUCAAUUCAUAUGCAUAUCUAUAUCUAUAUGUUUAAGGAAAAAACUUCAAAUACCACCCUGUGAUUUCGUAUUUUUUCAUUUUAGUAUUCUGUGGUUUAAAGUAUAUCAAUUUAGUACCAUGUGGUUUUGUACUUUCUCACUUUAGUAUCCUGUGAUUUAAAGUGUAUCAAUUUAGUACCAUGUGAUUUUAUUUUUCACUUUUCGUCGGUUCCUCUGUUAAUAUUUCAUUAAAUUAUAUAUAAAAAAUUUCAGAUACCCUACCUAGGUUUAUCGAAUAUUUACUUUAGUACCAUUUAGUUUUAAUUUUGUUACUGAUUUUUUUUCAUCCGUUAAUAUUUCGUUAAAUUAUAUACAAAAAACUUAGGUACAAUAUAUAAGUUUAUCGAAUAUUCAUUUUAGUACUCUUUGAUUUUAAUUUUGUGACCGAUUUAACGAAAAAAAUUAGUGAAAUGAAUAAUAAAAAGAGAAAAAUAAAAUCACAUGGCACUAAUUUAAUACACCUUAAACCACAAGAUACUAAAGUGAGAAUAUGCGAAACCACAUGGGCUAACUUAAUACACUUUAAAUCACAGAGCACUAAAGUGAGAAAGUGUGAAACCACAGGGGAUAUUUAUAGUUUAAUUUAUUUUUAAUUCCAAUCCGAAUACGGAUUUAGAUAU